rnacentral:lncRNA from 1 species
UACGGUAUGCGUUUUACACUUGUAGCACAUCUCAAUUCAGAUUAGCCACAUUUCAAGUGUUGUAUGGCUACACACAAGUCAGCACACAUGGCCACAGCUACCUUAUUGGACGUUAAAGGCAUAGUCGUCUCCACAAGAAAAUGGUAACAGCAGUCACCUCUGGAGAGAAGAACCUCUCUGGAUACCUGGGUAAGAGGAAGAACUGCUCUUCAUUCUAUGCCUUUUUGAGCUUUUCAAAUUUCAUGCCUUGUGCAUUGCCUUUUCUGAAUAAAAUGAGUAAAACAGUUUUACAGCAAUUCUUUACAGUAACUUCUUAUUCACUCUGCCAUACAAAUAGGGACGGAUGAUUCAUACAAUGUGAGGACAAUUAUCAGCAACCAAUGACUCUUUCUUACUCCCUGGAGUCUUGUCAUUGCUUAGUAAUUUAAGGAAUCCGUCUCAGGGACAAGCAACAGUUUGCCACUGAGAGAAUGGAGUCAGGUUGGGGACACAUUCCCAAACUGGAAAUUCAUCAAAUUAGAAACAGGGUUUUGUAACUAAUUUAUAGCUGAGAAAAUGAAAUACGAAAGGAUCCUAGCUGGUGGGGAUCCUCUCACACAUCCCUACCAUGAGCUCAGAGAAGCCUCCAUGUCAGGACACAGCCGGAAACUGCAGGGGGCACGUGAAGGCAAAGACAGGAAGAAGAGGACAGGAAGGAGAGGUGAGGAAAGAGGAGGUUUCCAUAAACAGGAAACCACCAGGUGGCCUUUUCACCUCUUAAAUCUUGAGGGAGACAAGCGGAGAACCCCACUCCCAACCAAGAGAGAGGACCUACCGUUUCCCAAUCAGCGGAAUGUGGAAAUGCUCAACAGGACUGAAGUGAGGUUAAACUCUCUUCCUCUAAUUCUUCCCCGAGUGGCAAGGUGGGUUAUCAGGAGGGAGAAAGAGCAGGGUGGAUGGGUGGGUUGAUGGGAAGGGACAUGGGAUGCAUCCGUGGGAUUUCACAGAUGCUGGCAGGACAUAGGAUGGAGUGGGGCAGUAGUCAAGGCAAGAGCUGUGGCUGUGUAGAAAUAUCAGCGAUCAGGACACUCAUCAAGGCAUUGUUCAUGACCUGAUCACACUGAAGACUGCCUCGAUGCUUUCAUUUGGAGGGUAUUUGUGAUGUAAUUCAGGGUUAAAAGCAAAUUUUAAAACAAUAGGACACUGUAAUUUCACUCGUAGAAAUAAACACACACACACAUAUAACACCUACAGUCACAUGACUGGACAGAUAUUUAUUAAAACAAAAAGGGAAGUGAUGGGACUAGAGAUGUUUGCUGAUUUUCCUUUUAGCUUACCUGUAUUUUCCAGAGUUUUCACCAGUGAGCUCAUAUUCAUUAGCAAUAAUGUGGAGGGGGUCACAGAUUUCUCUCACAACCGUUGGACAUACAGAAAAGAGGGAGUUUCCUUAUUUGAACUGUAACUAACCCAUUCUUCUUUACAAUCCCCAGUUGUCAGAGGAGAAACAUUAAGUUUUCAUCCUGUCUACUUUAAAAUAUAGCUCAAUCCAGUACACAAAAUAGUCCAUCUAGAAUAUGCACUGUCUGGUUUCACAGCCGCUAAUGCCUCUUUAAUUUUAAAUGUGAACACUUAAAAUUUAAUUCCCCACACACUUAUCCUAUUUGACUUCCCUUUUAUUUCUUAAAAUAAUUAUCAAAAAAAUGAGGUUUAUUUUCACUGCUCUUUACUCAGAAAUAGUUUAGCUCUCUUCCUAGAUGUCCUUAGAAGUCGAAUAAUUAGAAGUUGAUUUUUAACUUAUAUGUGUUCUAUGAUUUUUAAAAUGUAAAAAUAGAUAUACAAGGGAAUUGUGACUCAGAGAAUAUACAAAUAACUGUGUUAGCAUGUAAGGAUUAGGAGGGGUACUGUUUUUCUAUUUUAAAUUCUCUUUUAAUGUUAUUAUAUUAUUUUUACAAUUAAAAAUGUUUAAAAUAAAAAAUAAUAAUAAUUCCUAUCACUGGGUACAGGUCUAGCGUUUCAUAGCUACACACUACUCAUGGCUACAUAUUAUAUAUUCAGAAUGUUUUUAUCAUCCCAGAAUGCCCUAUUGGAUACAGCUGCUCCAAACAGUGCUGGAUCUCAGAUUUCUCCACCAUCACCCUUGGCUGACUAGGUCUGGGUAAGGUCUGGAUGUGUGGAGAAUGAGUGUAGCUCCCCUUCCUCCCUUCCUUCUGGCUUUGGUGGGCAGGAACCCUGUGGUCUGGUGCUAGUCUUUAGUGAGGCCGGAUGCCUCGACCUUGGAGCCCUUCCGUGGUCUUUGCUACCAUACAAAUAUCCCUGUCUCAACUUCCUGGCUUCAGGGGUCUUACAGAGGCCCAGUCUGUAUGUGUCCCAUUGACAUAGCUCCCUAGUCUCCUUAAGAAGGCCUGGGGCUUGCAGAAGGAAGUGAGCCAGGCUUGCUCACCUGACCACCUUCUGGGACCUACGCAAUAGUCUGGGCCUGUGGGCUUCUCUGGACUCCCUGUCACCCCAGCCUCAGCAUCUCCAGACACUGGGAACUCUAUUCCCCCAGAAGCCUACCACAACCACGUCUGAUUACAUCUGCAUACUACCACAUUUUUCCCGAGUCUGAUGCAUUGAGGGACUCUAAAGAGACUACAAUUUUCCCAGGCUGUGCCCAAGAAGUAGGGGCAAGGCCCCAGCCCUCAGACCCCCUGAGACUUCUCUGGCUGGUGGUGCGCAUCUCCUCUUCCAGAAGUUUCAACGCAGUGGGGGACAGGCCCAGGUGCCCGCUUCUCACCUCUCUCCCUCUCCUUUUCUCUUAACUACUUUUCUUCUUCCCAUAGCUCCUCAGAGAUGAAACAGGAUGGGAUAUUCAUUGACUAUUCAGUGUCAUAACGGCAGAGCAACAAGACUGGUAACCAGGCUUUCUCAUCCCUAGUUGAAAAAGCAAGGCCUUUUCCUUUGUGUAUUUUAGAGGGAAAUCAAGGAAUUUUUAAAAUUCCUCCUCAAAACAAUGGCUGGCUUGUAAGGCCAUUGUCUUCCCACAGAAUGCGGUUUUAUUUUCAGUGGAGGCGGGGAUUAUUACUUGCACCUUUGUCUUUGCAUUCUAUAUGUAAGAUUUCUAAUCUCCACAUCCUCCACUUGUGUUUUCCCACCCCACCCAUGCAGGCAGAGGGAAGCCCUGGUCCCACGAAGGCACAAAUCAUUUCCUCAAAAAGAUUAACCAGAAACAGCACAUGAGCAAGUUUCAAAUCGUCACACCCAUUACAAUAAGGAAGACACAAUUUUCAUUUUUACAUUUUUUAUGACAGCUGUUGGCUCAGGCUAAUCAGAAACUAUCUUUAGAGAGGAGGUAUUUCCCAAGGUCACAUGUUUUAAUAUAAUUAGCGUGAGAUCAAAUGGAUGUUAAGGAGUUGGCAUCCAAAAUCUCCACCACACUACUGGCCUUGUGACCAAAAAAAUCCAAAUUCCAAAACACUUUUGGUCCGAACACUUUCAGAUAAGGGAUACUCAGCCCUUAGUGACUCAGGAAAUAACCCAUGAUAAUAAUAUUACUAUACUACUACUUACCAAUAACAAUGACAACAUAAACAGAAGAAGUCUUAAAUCAGAGGAUAACAGUAAUAGUAAUAGCCUAGUUUUUGUUUCUAGGCCAAGGAUUAUGGUUUAAAAUGGACAUAAGCAGUACCAUUAAGUGGUUUUAUUUCAUAGAAUCUCUAAAUGCAGUAGAAUCACAGGGCUGACAGAAGCCUUAGAGACCACUUCCCCAACUCCCCAUGCAACAUUCAUAUGUCCUGACAGCAGUAACAAGCUCUUCUCCAAACUCUGCUUGAAUAUCUCCACAGAAGAGAAGCUCACCACUCCCACAGGUGAUUUUUUUUCUUCUGAGUUCUGAUGGUUCUAAUUCUCUUCCUUACAUUACGUAUUACUUUCUCUCAUUAUAACUUUUUCCCAUUUAUUCAUUUUUUAAAAAGUUGUUCAUGACUAAUCAAACACAGCAGUUUGUAAAGCAUUACAAAGGUUUAUAAAGUAAAAAUUAAGGUUCCCCCACUACGUCCCACCAGAUUCUAUUCCCCAGAGGUGAUCAGAUUCUUUAUACAAUUAAUUUUUUGUUUUUUUGUUUUUUGUUUUUUGUUUUUUUGGGACAGAGUCUCGCUCUUUCGCCCAGGCUGGAGUGCAGUGGCG